GUGCUUGCUUCGGCAGCACGUAGACUAAAAUUGGAAUGAUACAGAGAAGAUUAGCAUGGUCCCUGUGCAAGGAUGGCACACAGAUUUAUGAAGCAUUCUGCAUUUAA
ensembl:snRNA U6 U6 spliceosomal RNA